UUUAAAUUUAGAGUUUGAUCCUGGCUCAGGACGAACGCUGGCGGCGUGCUUAACACAUGCAAGUCGAGCGAUGAAGCUUCCUUCGGGAAGUGGAUUAGCGGCGGACGGGUGAGUAACACGUGGGUAACCUGCCUCAAAGUGGGGGAUAGCCUUCCGAAAGGAAGAUUAAUACCGCAUAAUAUAGGAGAAUCGCAUGAUUUUCUUAUCAAAGAUUUAUUGCUUUGAGAUGGACCCGCGGCGCAUUAGCUAGUUGGUAAGGUAACGGCUUACCAAGGCAACGAUGCGUAGCCGACCUGAGAGGGUGAUCGGCCACAUUGGAACUGAGACACGGUCCAGACUCCUACG
rnacentral:rRNA from 1 species